AGUAACGGCGAGUGAAGCGGCAACAGCUCAAAUUUGAAAUCUGGCCCCCAGGGCCCGAGUUGUAAUUUGCAGAGGAUGCUUUUGGCGACGCGCCUUCCGAGUUCCCUGGAACGGGACGCCAUAGAGGGUGAGAGCCCCGUCUGGUUGGACGCCGAGCCUCUGUAAAGCUCCUUCGACGAGUCGAGUAGUUUGGGAAUGCUGCUCUAAAUGGGAGGUAUAUGUCUUCUAAAGCUAAAUACCGGCCAGAGACCGAUAGCGCACAAGUAGAGUGAUCGAAAGAUGAAAAGCACUUUGAAAAGAGGGUUAAAUAGUACGUGAAAUUGUUGAAAGGGAAGCGCUCACGACCAGACUUGAGCCCGGUGAAUCAUCCAGCGUUCUCGCUGGUGCACUUCGCCGGGCCCAGGCCAGCAUCGGUUCGCCGCGGGGGAGAAAGGCGUCGGGAACGUGGCUCCCUCGGGAGUGUUAUAGCCCGUCGCACAAUACCCUGGGGCGGACCGAGGUUCGCGCAUCUGCAAGGAUGCUGGCGUAAUGGUCGUCAGCGACCCGUCUUGAAACACGGACCAAGGAGUCGUCUUCGUAUGCGAGUGUUCGGGUGUAAAACCCCUACGCGUAAUGAAAGUGAACGCAGGUGAGAGCUUCGGCGCAUCAUCGACCGAUCCUGAUGUUCU
rnacentral:rRNA from 1 species